UUCAAAUCCAGGUCAACAUCAGGUAUGGAGAUCUUGGGAGCUUUGAUAUUUAUUUCAGGCAUCUUGAACUUGGGGCCCUUUAGUUUCGCAUCUGGACCUUCGAUAUUCACAUCAGGAACAUCAACGUCCACUUUGGGUCCUGAGACAUCAAUGUCAGCCUUGGGCAGGUUCACAUCCACAUCUGGGCCCUCUCCUUUGAAGCCAGGCAUGCUGAACUUGGGCAUUUUCACUUUGGGCAUUUUUAAGUGCCAGUCUGGGCCAUGAACAUCCACAUCUGGGGCAUCAAUGUCCACUUUGGGGCCCUUGAUGUCAACUUCAGGGGCCUUUAGAUCACCUUCCAUCUUAGGCAGAGAAACAUCCACAUCUCCUUUCACCUUAGGGCCUUUCAGAUGCAAAUCAAAGUCAGGCAUGGAGAUCUUGGGGGCUUUGAUGUUCAUCUCUGGCAUCUUGAAUUUAGGGCCCUUCAGUUUCGCAUCUGGACCUUCAAUAUUCACAUCUGGAACAUCAACGUCCACCUUGGGUCCUGAGACGUCAAGGUCAGCCUUGGGCAGGUUCACAUCCACUUCUGGACCUUCUCCUUUGAAGCCAGGCAUGCUGAUCUUGGGCAUUUUUAUCUUAGGCAUCUUCAGGUGCCAGUCUGGACCCUGAACAUUAACAUCUGGGACAUCAAUGUCCACUUUGGGGCCUUUGAGGUCAACUUCAGGACCUUUCAGAUCUCCC
rnacentral:lncRNA from 1 species